rnacentral:lncRNA from 1 species
CUUGGGGCCACUGGGGCCCUUGCGUAGCCUCCUCCUCCGAGGCCCAGGCUCCCACCUUCUUAGCACACGCAUCACCCUGCAGACGCUUCGCUCCUUCAGGAUGCUCAACAGCCACGCUCCAGGCCUACGUCUGAGCAAGAUGCUUCACGGGUUUGCAGUGUGCCCUGUCUCCCUGCUGGACUGUGAAGGCCAUGAGGACAGGGACCUUUUGUUCUCUCAUUUGCGUGCUCAGUAAGCACCUACUGUAUACCAGGCCCAGAGCUGGGCGCCAGAGUGCAACUGGGGCUGAAAUGCCCAGAGACUUCUGACUGUUCUGCCGCCCUGGCUGCCCCCGGGUGUACCCCGCAGGCCUCCUCAUGGUCCUUCAACUAAAGGACUCGUGUCUGGCGCACCAGGGAUGCUCCAGGAGCUCAGACCCCAUCAGCUCGAGUCUCGGACUUCCUGGGCCUCCCUGGCUUCUGCAGGCAGGCUCCGUGGAUUCAAGACCGAGGCCGGCGGAAGCUCUGGAAGAAGAGUGAAUUCGGCGCUGGGGGCCGCGUGGAGGAGUGCUGCCUGGGAAGCGGGCCUUGGAGCUGCUCAGCGACGGAGAAAGGCUCUCAGCCAGCCGAGGACAGAGCGCAC